AUGUGACUACAAAGUGUCAAUUAAGUGCAGUUUGCACAGAACAGCUUCUCUGAAAGCAGCUGGUCUCGUUACAGGGGUGCUCAAAACCUUGUGUCGCACAUCAUUUCCCUUUCUCUCUUUGCCUGCCUUUAGCCACGUUACUGUAGGUUAUGGAAAAAGAAGAGGGAAUCCAUAUCAGCGAGAGCUUGGGAGGUGUUCUACCUACACACUCAACUUGAAGUAACAUCCUCUCCCCAACCAAAAUGCACUAUCAGCUUAAACCCUAAUUUUGAUUAGAGAAUAAACGAACAAUUUUCUUAACUACAGGAAUCGUGGUAUAAAUUUGAACCCGUCAAAUGCACUUAAAAGAAUUGGUGAGGUAGAAGAAAAAUAAAAGUUAUAAUCCAACUGGCAGCCUACAGCCUGGUUCCUUAGCCUGCAACAGGUGAAGUGUUUCUCCAUUUGCCAUGAACAGGAGACAGCAGAAAGAUAAUGACGGCUGCUGGAGUGUUUUGCACUCCUUGGGCAGGUGCCUCUCCUGCAACAGAGACACUGCUGGGUCCUAAUUGUACUAUAGAGCAGCUGUUCUUGCAGUACUGUGAGUGGGAAAGGCACCACAGUACCCUUGUCUUCACUGUACUGCAGGAAUACAUGGGAUUGCAUCUUCCUGAUAAUAGGGCUUGCUUGCCUACUAACAAUGGCCUGAACUGGAACUAGUAAUGGUCCACAGAACUGGGAUAAUCUUGACAUUCAUUAAAAUUUUAUUGCAGAAUUGAAAUCUCCUUGAUUUACAUGCAGUGACAAGGCAGAA